UACGUAAGGGGCAAGCGUUAUUCGUCAUUAAUGGGUCUAAAGGGUACGUAGGCGGUAUAGUAAAUCAAGUUUUAUUCACCUAAGAGUGAAUUUGGUAAUGCAAUACUAGAGUUUAAGGAAGUAACAAAUACUAGGAGAGGAGUGUAAUAAUACCUGGAUACUACACGGGGUUGCGAAGCGGCGAAGGCAUGGUUACUAAUAAAGACUGACGCUGAGGUACGAAGGCAAGGGUAUCGAACGGGAUUAGAAACCCGGAG
rnacentral:rRNA from 1 species